rnacentral:rRNA from 1 species
AACCGGUAGUUGGGCCUAGGUGUGGGGGACAUUCCACGUUCUCCGCGCCGUAGCUAACGCAUUAAGUGCCCCGCCUGGGGAGUACGGUCGCAAGGCUAAAACUCAAAGGAAUUGACGGGGGCCCGCACAAGCGGCGGAGCAUGCGGAUUAAUUCGAUGCAACGCGAAGAACCUUACCAAGGCUUGACAUACACUGGACCGUUCUGGAAACAGUUCUUCUCUUUGGAGCUGGUGUACAGGUGGUGCAUGGUUGUCGUCAGCUCGUGUCGUGAGAUGUUGGGUUAAGUCCCGCAACGAGCGCAACCCUCGUUCUAUGUUGCCAGCACGUGAUGGUGGGAACUCAUAGGAGACUGCCGGGGUCAACUCGGAGGAAGGUGGGGAUGACGUCAAAUCAUCAUGCCCUUUAUGUCUUGGGCUUCACGCAUGCUACAAUGGCUGGUACAGAGAGAGGCGAACCCGUGAGGGUAAGCGAAUCCCUUAAAGCCAGUCUCAGUUCGGAUCGUAGUCUGCAAUUCGACUACGUGAAGUCGGAGUCGCUAGUAAUCGCAGAUCAGCAACGCUGCGGUGAAUACGUUCCCGGGCCUUGUACACACCGCCCGUCAAGUCACGAAAGUCGGUAACACCCGAAGCCGGUGUCCCAACCCCUUGUGGGAGGGGGCCGUCUAAGGUGGGACUGGUGAUUGGGACUAAGUCUACAAGGGG